UCCAUGAAGGGCAGAACGAUGGCAAAUGGACUUCCGCAGUGACAAGUAAUUUCAGUUCAAUGCAAGGACCUAAGAUAUUGCAAUGAGUUAUCAUAGGAUCACAUGGAUUUUUAUGAUAAAAUUGGUCACACGAGCACCACAAUGAAUACCACUCCUGGAGGCACCUUAGUGUUUAUCGAGAGUAGAUGUCAUCAGUACUGAGUGGUGUCCAGGUGCAAAAUUCUGAGGAUUUGUGAUGUUGUGGCUCAAUGUCUCUUCUGCAUGGACCUCCUCCUUUUGAAGUGCACCCCACCACUCCCACCACCACCACCACCGUGAACUCUGGGGGGUUUAUGCUGAAUCAGUACGCAUUAGAAGAUAAUGAAGGUGCAGAGAAAGGGACAGAAUGAAAAAACAAAACAAACCCAGUCACAGGAUGAAGAAAAAAGAGAUUCAAGAGCAGAAACAAUGGGAUUCCUCGACAAAUGAAACCACGAAGGAGGAAGCCUAGCCCAGGGGAAAGACGGUGGGCCUUGGAGUCAGGAAACCUGGUAUUCAAGUCAUUCUCACACAGAGACUGAGUAAGAUCAUGGGUACCCUCAAGCAAUACCCUCCAGCCUUCAAACAAUCCUUGAGGACUGUAAGUUACAGCAAAGCCAUCUACAUCUGGUAGAAAGAAGAGAUUUCUGGGAUGAAAUUACAGAUCCGGACCACAAAAAAAAAAUGUACUCAUUCAUACACUUCAAUAUCUGAUCGCUUCUUCCAUUUAAACUUCCUCCAACAAAUUAGAAGCUACGAAAUUUUGGGGGAAAUGAUCUUGAAAACAUGGGCAAUAGCUAACAUAUCUAUAUAAGACUUCAAGGGUCCUCUCAUCUCACUGUUACCUGAGCCUCUUUUGUUGGGGAAGAAGCAGAAACUAGGAGAGGACAUUUAUGAGAAUAACUGCAUACAUCAAGUCUUUUGAGAAGACAAAUGAGUCAGGAUUCAAUUUUUUUUUGUUGCCACCUUAUCUAUCAAUCAGAAAUCCUUUAUUCUUCUCUGCUGCGGGUGCAGACGACAUCAGCCAUGAAGUUAGCUAACGCUUUUUUGCUCUUGUCUAUUUAUUCAAAGAAGGAGAUGUCUGCAUGGGUCUCUGGAACAUCUCUUUGCUCACCCCCAUUAGCCAGAGUCUUUUUUUUUUUAAAGAUUGAUAACAUAUUGCCAGUGAGGCACUGAAUGGCUUUGGUGGAUAAGAAGACCAGAUACAGAGUCAGGAAGAUGGGUUCAAGUCCUGCUUCUGAAAUACACUGGCAGCAUAAUCCUGAGUAGGUCACAACCUCCUAGUGACAAUAAUAACACUUUAAGGUCAUGAAUUACAUGGAAGUGGAAGGAGUUUUCAUACUAGGGAGUUAUUUACCCAGAUGAAAUCAUGGGUCUGGAUUCCCCUCCUCCCUGCAAAAAAAAAUAAUUACUAUGGUCUUUAUUUUUAGCCCAGCUACUUCCAAACUGUGCCCUAUAAUGAAUAGAGGGUAUUGCAAAAGUUUUAGCAAAAUUUUAAGCUUCUUGAAACUCUUUUGGGAUAUCCUGUAUUUUUUCAAGAGCAUUUUGACUUUUUAACAGGGAAUAUUAAUUUAGAACUGAAAUGUGAAAAUAGAGAUCAUUAAGUCAACCUAAUUUUGCAGUUAAGGAAACUGAGGCACCAGGGAUAAAGAGACUUGACCCUUGUCACACAAUGAUUAAAUCUCUACUAUAUGCUGUUUCCUGGUAUGAUUAAAGGCAAACUUACUCAAGCAUCUGG